rnacentral:rRNA from 1 species
CACGUAGGGCGCAAGCGUUGUCCGGAAUUACUGGGCGUAAAGAGCUCGUAGGUGGUUUGUCGCGUUGUUCGUGAAAACUCACAGCUCAACUGUGGGCGUGCGGGCGAUACGGGCAGACUUGAGUACUGCAGGGGAGACUGGAAUUCCUGGUGUAGCGGUGGAAUGCGCAGAUAUCAGGAGGAACACCGGUGGCGAAGGCGGGUCUCUGGGCAGUAACUGACGCUGAGGAGCGAAAGCGUGGGGAGCGAACAGG